rnacentral:rRNA from 1 species
ACAAGCGUGGAUGAUGUGGAUUAAUUCGAUGCAACGCGAAAACCUUACUACCCUUGACAUGUCCGGAAUCCCGAAGAGAUUUGGGAGUGCUCGCAAGAGAACCGGAACACAGGUGCUGCAUGGCUGUCGUCAGCUCGUGUCGUGAGAUGUUGGGUUAAGUCCCGCAACGAGCGCAACCCUUGUCAUUAGUUGCCAUCAUUUGGUUGGGCACUCUAAUGAGACUGCCGGUGACAAACCGGAGGAAGUGGGGAUGACGUCAAGUCCUCAUGGCCCUUAUGGGUAGGGCUUCACACGUCAUACAAUGGUCGGUACAGAGGGUUGCCAACCCGCGAGGGGGAGCUAAUCCCACAAAGCCGAUCGUAGUCCGGAUCGCAGUCUGCAACUCGACUGCGUGAAGUCGGAAUCGCUAGUAAUCGUGGAUCAGCAUGUCACGGUGAAUACGUUCCCGGGUCUU